rnacentral:rRNA from 1 species
UACGUAGGGCGCAAGCGUUAUCCGGAAUUAUUGGGCGUAAAGAGCUCGUAGGCGGUUUGUCGCGUCUGCCGUGAAAGUCCGGGGCUCAACUCCGGAUCUGCGGUGGGUACGGGCAGACUAGAGUGAUGUAGGGGAGACUGGAAUUCCUGGUGUAGCGGUGAAAUGCGCAGAUAUCAGGAAGAACACCCGUGGCUAAGGCGGUUCUCUAGUACGGUACUGACGCUGAGACGCGAAAGCGUGGGGAGCGAACAGG